rnacentral:rRNA from 1 species
GUUGAACGCUGGCGGCAGGCUUAACACAUGCAAGUCGAGCGGAGAUGAGGAGCUUGCACCUUAUCUUAGCGGCGGGCGGGUGAGUAAUGCUUAGGAAUCUGCCUAUUAGUGGGGGACAACAUUCCGAAAGGAAUGCUAAUACCGCAUACGUCCUACGGGAGAAAGCAGGGGAUCUUCGGACCUUGCGCUAAUAGAUGAGCCUAAGUCGGAUUAGCUAGGUGGUGGGGUAAAGGCCUACCAAGGCGACGAUCUGUAGCGGGUCUGAGAGGAUGAUCCGCCACACUGGGACUGAGACACGGCCCAGACUCCUACGGGAGGCAGCAGUGGGGAAUAUUGGACAAUGGGGGGAACCCUGAUCCAGCCAUGCCGCGUGUGUGAAGAAGGCCUUAUGGUUGUAAAGCACUUUAAGCGAGGAGGAGGCUACUGAGACUAAUACUCUUGGAUAGUGGACGUUACUCGCAGAAUAAGCACCGGCUAACUCUGUGCCAGCAGCCGCCGUAAUAC